rnacentral:rRNA from 1 species
CCUACGGGGGGCAGCAGUGGGGAAUAUUGGACAAUGGGCGAAAGCCUGAUCCAGCCAUGCCGCGUGUGUGAAGAAGGCCUUCGGGUUGUAAAGCACUUUCAGUGGGGAAGAAAGCCUUGGGGCUAAUACCCUCGAGGAAGGACAUCACCCACAGAAGAAGCACCGGCUAACUCCGUGCCAGCAGCCGCGGUAAUACGGAGGGUGCGAGCGUUAAUCGGAAUUACUGGGCGUAAAGCGCGCGUAGGCGGUCUGAUAAGCCGGUUGUGAAAGCCCCGGGCUCAACCUGGGAACGGCAGCCGGAACUGUCAGGCUAGAGUGCAGGAGAGGAAGGUAGAAUUCCCGGUGUAGCGGUGAAAUGCGUAGAGAUCGGGAGGAAUACCAGUGGCGAAGGCGGCCUUCUGGACUGACACUGACGCUGAGGUGCGAAAGCGUGGGUAGCAAACAGGAUUAGAUACCCGGGUAGUC